rnacentral:lncRNA from 1 species
AACCUCUAAUGUGUGUGACCCUGCAGGUUCGAACCUAAGCCAGUAGCACAGGAACCAAUUCCUGUACUAAUCGAAGUGACCAUCUAGUAAUGGUACCCGACGUUCGGAUAGGUCGAAUAGUCGUAAUUGCAACACUCAGAACCUACAUGAAUAUGGUUACUGUAUAAUUCAUCCUUUUGACCCUUGUGUUUAGGAUGACUCAAGGUUAAACUGUCAACCCUGAUCAAAUCAUCCGAGUCGUGCUCAACUCAAACAGUCCUGUGACUCCUCACAAGGACUACCCUGAUCAAGGUUUUGCUAAAUUGAAACACGACUGUACACAGCUCCUAAACUGGAGUG